CUGCUGGUGGAAGUCCGGCCCGGGUAGCGGCCAGGAGCCCCGGUGGCAGGCUGGCGGCGUCGGAGGGAAACGAAAGUCUGGCGUAGAAGCCCAGUUUCAAUGGCCCUGUAAGAGCCUGUUCCUGAACUGAUCUUGGUCGGCUGGGCCGCUGCGGAGAUUGGAA
rnacentral:ncRNA from 1 species